rnacentral:lncRNA from 1 species
AUUUUCAUCAGAUAUACACAAAAAACUGAUAUGCAAAAGCUUGAUUAAUAAAAAUCAGAAUUGAAAUUUUUAACCCAGUUUUUGUUAUUUUUUUAAUCAUUUUUUGUUCUACUUUCUUGAUGUCUAUCAAUAGCAAAGUCAUUAAAUGGGUUAAAUAAUAAAGCUGCAAUGAUCAUAAUACUGAUUGCCAUAUUAGAUCUUAAAUUCAAAAAUCACAUAUUUAGCGUAUGAAAAUUCAAAAUCAAAUGGAAAGAUAUGAAUUAAUUCUAAUUUUAAACUACUAUAUUAUAUAAUAUGAAGUAUUGUAUUUAUACUAAUGUUUUUUUGAAUGUUUUAACAUCAAUAGAUAAAACGGCAAGACUUUGUGAUAUUCAAGAAUCAAUUGAAAAUUUCUACAUUGAAGUUAAUGGGAAAUAGGGAGGCUGCUUCUUCACCCUGUCGCAGGGAUGGUGGUCCCUGUACCCCAUUUGAGGGUGCCAUGGCUGCUGGUAUGUCCCAGGGUGGUGGGGUGGCGGAGCGGUCUCCAGGAGUUUGCACUGCCUCUGGGAGUAAACCUAGUCCGCGUUUGUCUGGGGCAGCUAGACGAAAGCGGAAGAAGGCUAGGAAGGAAGUUGCUGGUAUCGGUGGUUCUCAGCUACCGAGUGGCUCUUCUCAAAUAGCCUUUUUAUCUGAUUCUCCUGCUGAUACCACUGGUGUUGGCAAAAGAACCAGAUCUAUGAUGUCUACCCCCUCUUCUGAAGUGAGGCCUGCUAAGAGGUCCCAGGGCCUUCAGCCCAGAUCAUAUUCGGAAGCUUUGGCUUCUUUUCGUUUAGCCAUCAUCAAGGAUGGUUAUCCGGACUGCAAGAUUAGGGCUGCUGAGGUUGACCUUAUUUUGGGGAAGAUCC